UACGGGGGGAGCAAGCGUUGUUCGGAUUUACUGGGCAUAAAGGGCGCGUAGGCGGCCUCCGCAAGUCAGUUGUGAAAUCUCCGAGCUUAACUCGGAAAGGUCAACUGAUACUGCGGGGCUAGAGUGCGGAAGGGGCAACUGGAAUUCUUGGUGUAGCGGUGAAAUGCGUAGAUAUCAAGAGGAACACCUGCGGCAAAGGCGGGUUGCUGGGCCGACACUGACGCUGAGGCGCGAAAGCUAGGGGAGCGAACGGG
rnacentral:rRNA from 1 species